GACCCCAUGCCGAACUCAGAAGUGAAACGCCGUAGCGCCGAUGGUAGUGUGGGGUCUCCCCAUGCGAGAGUAGGGAACUGCUAGGC
rnacentral:rRNA from 1 species